rnacentral:misc_RNA from 1 species
CUCUCUCCUGGACGCCCGCAAUUUCCUCAAGGAGAAGGAUUGUGAUAUUUGUGGUGUGGAGAUUGCUGAUGGUGCUUUGCCCGUAAAUGAGCACCCUUUCAGGAAGAGCACGGCUUUCCUUCUCGGCAACGAGGGAACAGGACUAUCUGCCAAAGAAUGUGAGAUGUGCGACUUUUUUGUUUAUAUUCCACAAUAUGGGUGUGGCACAGCCUCAUUAAAUGUUACUGUAGCAGCUUCCAUUGUUUUGCACCAUUUUGGAGUUUGGGCAGGCUUUUCUGAGAGAAUCCGUGAGGGAAAUAAGUUUAUUGUGACAGAGAGACCUAUGAAACAGGUGAAAUACUGCACAGAAACUGAAGAGUCUAUCAUUGAAGAGCGAAAAUCUAGAAAAGAAUAUGCCUCUAAUGGAUUCUUUGAUGAGACGAGAAAUGGAGAUUCAACUUCUAACCUUCUGGAUGCUUUGUUUAGUGAGUAGUAAUUGAACUUUUAUAUGUCAUUUUCUCAACCCUAUAAAACAAAUUGACGUCAUGCAAUUCAUGAGGUGAGAGGUCACGGGUCCUUGUUCCUCAAAGUGUUGUAAAGGAGCAGCAAGCAGCUUAUA